CGUCUCCCUUAUCCUCUCAACGUUCGGAUAAGGUCUUGGCCGAGUGUAACUAAAGCUCAGUACAUGGGAGUUACUUGGAUAGUUACUUGAUCCCUUUUACCUUGUACGGAUGAUCACUUGUACGGCCUUGUACGGAUGAUCAACCCAUUUCUCCUCUUCACCUCUUUGCUCUCUUUAUGUUCUCAACUCCUUUGUGUCUUUACCUCAAAUGUCUCAACUCUGAUUAACACUCCCCCUCAAGCUUAGCUUUGUGAAAGUCUAAGCUUGGACAGCCAUGAGAUCUUCCUCAUUAAAAACCUUACCAAGGAAAACCCAUUGGGAUAAAACCUUGAUAAGGGAAAAAGAGUAAAGACCUCACAGCCAAAGGGGAUCAGCUCCUUCUCUUCCCAAGAUCAAUGAGGCCCAACCUGAUGUGAAUGGACUCCAUUGUCUUCUGUCUUGCAGCCUUGGUGAACACAUCCGCUAACUGAUCUUCACUUCUUGUGUAGCAUGGCAAGAUGACUCCUAAGAUGAUCAUCUGCCUCACCUUGUGACAAUCCACUUCAAUGUGCUUGGUUCUCUCAUGGAACACCGAGUUGGAGGCAAUGUGGAUGGCAGCUUGGUUAUCACAAUGCAUUGUCAUUGGCGUGGCUUGAUCAAUCUCCAAAUGCUUUAAGAUGCCCUUGAUCCACACCAGCUCGUUGGUCAGCUUCAGCAUAGCUCUAUACUCAGCUUCUGCACUUGAGCAAGACACCACCUUCUGCUUCUUACUCUUCCAAGUAACCAAGUUGCCUCCAAUGAAUGUGCAAUAGCCUGUGGUUGAUCUCCUGUCUGCUCUAUCACCAGCCCAAUCCGCAUCACAAUAUCCAACCACUUCAGUACUCCCAUUGCAACCCAUCCAUACUCCUUGAUCAGGUGAGCCGUUGAGAUACAUCAAGAUCCUCUCCACCAUGCGCCAAUGAUGUUCCUUAGGCACUUGCAUGUGUUGACUCACCUGAUUCACAGCAAAGCAAAUGUCAGGCCUAGUUAUGGUAAGGUAAAUCAAUUUGCCAACUAGCUUUCUAUAGAGUUUAGGAUCCUGAUAAGGUUUGCUGUCUUCAAUCUCCCCCUCUCGUGGGACUUUGUAGCCAUCCUCCAUAGGCAUCCUUGCUGUCUUGCCUCCAUAAGCACCUGCACCUUUCAAAAGAUCAAGUGUAUACUUCCUUUGGGACAUGAACAAACCUUCCUUGGAUCUACAUAUCUCAAUUCCAAGAAAGUAUUUCAUUUCUCCCAAGUCUUUAAUCUCAAACAUGGAUUUAAGGAACUCCUUGGUUGCUAUGAUACCUUCCUUAUCACUUCCUGUGAUAAUGAUAUCAUCAACAUACACAAGGAGUGCAAUCAUACCUGAGGAAGUAGUGAGAGUGAAGAGGGUGUGGUCUAGUUCAGACUUCUUGAAGCCUCGUCCAUUCAGAGUAGUACUCAGCUUGUUGUACCAAGCUCUUGGUGAUUGCUUCAGUCCAUAGAUAGCUUUCUUCAGUCUCAACACAUUCCCUCUCUUCACUAAGUGUUCCAAGCCUGGAGGUGGAUGCAUAUACACUUCAUCCUCCAGCUCUCCUUGUAGAAAUGCAUUCUUCACAUCCAUUUGCCAUAAGCCCCAUCCAAGAUUCACAGCCAAGCUUAAUACAAUCCGGAUUGUGUGCAGUUUAGCUACUGGUGCAAAGGUCUCAAUGUAAUCCUCUCCAUAAGUUUGAGUGAAACCUCUUGCAACCAGUCUUGACUUCUUCCUCUCAAUUGUUCCAUCAGCCUUAUACUUGAUUGUGAAGAUCCAUCUACUAGUCACAGCCUUCUUCCCUUUUGGUAACUCACUCUCAUACCAUGUAUCAUUCUUGAUCAUAGCUCCUGCCUCAGCUCCAACUGACUCCUUCCAUUCUUUAUCCAUGAUUGCUUCUUCAUAGCUUCUUGGGAUGUAGUUCUCAUCCAAGUUAACCAUGAAGGCACAAUGUUCUUCAGGGUAUUGAGCAAAGGAACACACAACUUGAGAAGGAUGCUCCACAGCUUGGGCAUUGUAGUACACUCGCGUGUUUACCCAAGAGGAAGGAUCCUUUCUCAGCCUUGUGCUCCUCCUCAAUACAGGUUGUUCUUGCUCUUGAACCGGCUCAGCUUGUGUAUGCGGUUCUUGUGCUUCACUCUGAUGUUCUUCCUCUCCUUGGUCUUGCUCACCUUGAUGAUGAGAACCUGAGUUGAACUCUCCUUCCUCACUCAAGCCGACUCCUUCUUGGCCAUUUUCUUGAGUUUCAGGUUCACUUCCCCCCUCAUGAUCAAGGUGAGGUGUUUGAGCAGCUCCACUUGGUGCAGUUGAGCUCUCUUCUUGUCUUCCACUUCUUGUGGAUUGAUCCUGGUUCAUCUUGAUACCAAGACCUUCCAAAAUGAUUCUUAAGACUCCAGCCUUAUCUGAUGUGAGAUCCUUCAAAUCUUCUUGAUUCUUCUCCUCAUAGUAUCCUCUUUCUUCAAUGAACUUCACAUCUCUAGAUACAAGUACCCUUCUAGCUUCUGGAUCAUAACACUUAUAUCCUUUUUGAGUUGUUGAGUAGCCAAUGAACAUUGCCUUUCUGCUCCUUGCUUCUAGCUUGUUCCUCAACUCUCCUGGUACUAGAACAUAGCAUAAGCAUCCAAACACUCUCAUGUAUUCCAAGGAUGGCUUGCGCUUGUUCAGAACUUCAAAUGGUGCUUGAUCCUUCAACACCUUUGUAGGCAUCCUGUUGAUUAGGUAGCACGCAGUGGAUACAGCAUCACUCCAGAAUCUCUUAGGUACAUUAGCUUGGAACAUCAGUGACCGAGCCACUUCCAUCAAGUGCCUGUUCUUCCUCUCAGCUACACCAUUCUGUUGUGGUGUGUAGGGACAGCUUGUUUGAUGAAGGAUUCCAUGGUGAUCUAGAUGACUCUUGAACGCAUAGCUUGUGUACUCUCCUCCAUUAUCUGAUCUCAAAAUUUUAAUCCUAGCAUGAUAAUGGUUAGUCACAUAAGCUUGAAAGUUCUUGAAUGCAUCUAUCACCCUAUCUUUUGAUGGAAUGAGUGUUAACCAGGUGUAUUUCGAUUUUUCAUCAAUGAAUGUGACAAAAUACUUAUGAUUAUCUCUAGAAAAACUAGGUGCAGUCCACACAUCAGUAUGAAUCAAAUCAAAGCAAUUUUCAUAAACAGUAGAUGUUCUUGGAAACACAUUCUUACAAUGCUUGCCUAAAAUGCAAGCUUCACACUUAUUAUUUUCAAAAACCACACCUGGUAACAUCAAGUUUAAAGCCCUCUCAUGGGGAUGACCUAGUCUAGCAUGCCACAAUGCAUUUUUAUUCAAACUAGAAGCAGAAGUAAAUGAGCAGUUAUAAUUGGAAACAGGAUCAAGCUUCUCAAGCAUGUAUAAGUCUCCCUUUGUAACUCCUUUUCCAAUCAAUUGGCUGCUCUCAAUAUCCUGAAACUUCACAUCAUUAGGACUGAAUAUAACAUUGCAAUUCAAAUCAGUAGUGCAUUUCUUAACUGAAAGUAGAUUUGAUGUGAAUUCCGGAAUGUAAAAAGCUCUAGUGUUCUUAUCAAAUAGCUUUAAGUUUCCUAUUCCCUUAAUAGGUAUCUUAUCCCCAUUUGCAAUCAUCACACAUCCAUUAGUAGGUUCUAUAUCUUUAAUCAGGUUGGUGUCACUAAUCAUAUGAUGAGAUGCACCUGAAUCUAUAAUCAAUGGUUUGGAUGUAUUGCUAGCACUAUGGCAGAUGCUAAUCUGUGAUCUAUAUGCAUUCAUCCUAGCAUUUCUAUCAAUGCAAUGCUCAAUUCCAGUCUUACUAUCAAUCCUAGCAAUCUCAGCCACUGCACUAUGGCAGAUGCUAAUCUGUGAUCUAUAUGCAUUCACCCUAGCAUUUCUAUCAAUGCAAUGCUCAAUUCCAGUCUUACUAUCAAUCCUAGCAAUCUCAGCCACAUUAGGAGUCAUUUCUAUAGUUCUAGCAAUCAUAGAAGCACCAAAUGAAUACCCAUGAAUGUUACCAUUAUCCUUGAGCAUUUUGAUGAGUGCAUCCAUCUCGGAUCUCCUGAUGAAGUCUUGAUCAUUGCCUCGGGGGUUGAUGGCUCCAGUGUAGGUCACCAAAGCCUUUCCAUCUCCUUCACGGUUCUCCACCAUCUCCUGAUGAAGUCUUGAUCAUUGCCUCGGGGGUUGAUAGCUCCAGUGUAGGUCACCAAAGCCUUUCCAUCUCCUUCACGGUUCUCCACUUCAGCUCCACGGUUGGAUGGCCCUGCUCCGCUUGAUCCUUCAGUCAUGUGAGCUUUUGCCUCUCUCUCCUUCAUGAACUUAGCCGGCUUCAAGUGGGGAUGGAGUAUCCAGCACUGACUCUUCUUGUGUCCAUGCUUCUUGCAGUGAUCACAAUUCCCAUUGAACUUCCUAUCCUCAUACUUGUUGUAACCAGCUUUGUUAGCUUGUGGAGGCUCUUCCCGGUCAGGUUGCACAGCGUUUGCAAGAGAUAAGUCUCCCUUGCCUCCAAACAAACCCAUUGAGCCCUGCUCCUUCUGUAUCUUAGCACACACCUCUUCAAGGUCAGGCAGCUUCUCAGACCAUAGCAUGUGCUGGAUAAGACCACUGUAGCUUGCAUUCAACGUGAGCAGCAACCCAAAGACCUUGUCCUGCUCGCGUCUCUCAUUUAGAAGCUCUGGAUCAACCGUGCUUGGCCUCAGCAUCUCCAACUCAGACCAAAGAGACCUGAACCUCCCCAAGUGCUUAGUGAACUCCGUGUCAUCUUGAGUUAACCCAUUGAUUGCCUUCUUGACUUCAAACACUCGGUUCAGGUUAGAAGUGUUUCCAUACACUUUCUGUAGAGUAUCCCACAGCUCCUUGGCUGUCUCACAGUAGCUAUAAGCAUCUAGUAUAGCCGGCUCCAAAGAGGCAUGUAGGACAGACAUCACCAUCAUGUCUUCUUGUUGCCACUUCUCUACAACACUCUCCUCGGGACUCUCCGUUUCACCCCCCUGAGUAAUCACCUUUGGAGCCUCACCAGAUGUGAUAUGCUUCCACAAACCCUUGCUUCCCACAGCAGUUUUCACCAUCCUAGACCAGACUAGGUAGUUGGUUCCUUUGAAUGUCACCGCGACCUUCAUCUUCAUGCCACUCUCCAUCUUGAACAGCUUGACGUUUAAAACUUGAACAACCGGUUAGAUCUUGAACUGAGAACCCACGCUGCUCUCUAGAACACAGAUUAACUCUUGAGUCUUCAAAUGAACCUCCCACGGACCACCAAGACACACACAAAACACCUUGAGCUUUUGAACUCUCAAGAAACUCUCAAACACACUCACUUGUUCUCUUAAAGUUUCAAACUUGAAUCCUUAAGAGAAUCACUCACGAACUCAGAUUGUAAUCAACCUGGCUCUGAUACCUUAUGACUUUUAGGAAUAUAAAGAUUAAUCUGAGUUUAGAAUAGGAUUAAGGAAGAGAAUAAGAGAUUUAGGAAACUGAUUAGAGACUAAUGGAGAAUCAUGAUGAAAUGAGUAAAGAGAAAGAUUGUUUAGAACUGUCUAAUCUUUAUUAAUGAUCUUGAGUUACAAUAUAUAGUAAGGAGAGCUUAGGGUUUCGAUCACAAAAGGAUAAGGAAAGCAUGUGAAGUCAAAAGGAGGAGGAGCCUAUAUUUGAAUCCGGCCAAUGAGCUUCUCCAAGUGUGUGAGGCAUCUAGCAUCUUCCCAUAGAUGCUGUUUACUUUCCAGUCCAUGCCAGACUGUCAGUCCGCGCCUAAUCCCUUCUUCCUCCGCGGUCUUAUCCACUCCAAAGCUUAUCCUCCUCUCCACUAAGUUACCUUGGUAACUUAUCUUUACCUUGGUGAGUUUGGUUGAUGUCCUAUGUACGGAUGGUACGGCCUGUACGGCCUUGUACGGAUCACUCAACCCAAACUCAUCUCUUCUUUCAUACUUCAUCUCUUCCUCUAAUGCCUUAACUCCCUUAGCUCCUCUUCUCAUAUACUUAACUCUGAUCAACAAAAGUGAUUCAUCCUGGUUUGAUUGGAACGACGAAGAAGCUGUGCUAUUCCCAAACUGGGAAACUGGAAUCACCUGAUUUGAAAGUGGGAUAACUUCUUCAUCCCAACUCCUAUGAGAUUUAUUCAACUUCAUGGUGAUUCUCCACCACUUUAUGUAUCCAAAUGAAGCACAAAGUUAUGACUUUUAGGAAUAUAAAGAUUAAUCUGAGUUUAGAAUAGGAUUAAGGAAGAGAAUAAGAGAUUUAGGAAACUGAUUAGAGACUAAUGGAGAAUCAUGAUGAAAUGAGUAAAGAGAAAGAUUGUUUAGAACUGUCUAAUCUUUAUUAAUGAUCUUGAGUUACAAUAUAUAGUAAGGAGAGCUUAGGGUUUCGAUCACAAAAGGAUAAGGAAAGCAUGUGAAGUCAAAAGGAGGAGGAGCCUAUAUUUGAAUCCGGCCAUCGAGCUUCUCCAAGUGUGUGAGGCAUCUAGCAUCUUCCCAUAGAUGCUGUUUACUUUCCAGUCCAUGCCAGACUGUCAGUCCGCGCCUAAUCCCUUCUUCCUCCGCGGUCUUAUCCACUCCAAAGCUUAUCCUCCUCUCCACUAAGUUACCUUGGUAACUUAUCUUUACCUUGGUGAGUUUGGUUUAUGACUUUUAGGAAUAUAAAGAUUAAUCUGAGUUUAGAAUAGGAUUAAGGAAGAGAAUAAGAGAUUUACGAAACUGAUUAGAGACUAAUGAAGAAUCAUGAUGAAAUGAGUAAAGAGAAAGAUUGUUUAGAACUGUCUAAUCUUUAUUAAGAGAUGAGAUUACAUAUAUAUAGGUCCAUACACUUAGGGUUUUCGAAAUCAUAAAGCUAAGUAAGCAUGUAGAGUCAAAGAGGAGCCUAAGCUUUAAUUUGAACCGGCCAAUGAGUGUCUUCACACGUUUGGAGCAUCUUCUUGAUCCAAGACUAGAUGCUCUUCCUUUCCAGCUCUUGCCAGCCUGUCCUAGCUGUCAAGCCGCGUCUCCCUUAUCCUCUCAACGUUCGGAUAAGGUCUUGGCCGAGUGUAACUUAAGCUCAGUACAUGGGAGUUACUUGGAUAGUUUCUUGAUCCCUUUUACCUUGUACGGAUGAUCACUUGUACGGCCUUGUACGGAUGAUCAACCCAUUCCUCCUCUUCACCUCUUUGCUCUCUUUAUGUUCUCAACUCCUUUGUGUCUUUACCUCAAAUGUCUCAACUCUGAUUAACACUCCCCCUCAAGCUUAGCUUUGUGAAAGUC
rnacentral:lncRNA from 1 species